rnacentral:rRNA from 1 species
AGUGAACGCUGGCGGUAGGCCUAACACAUGCAAGUCGAACGGCAGCACAGUAAGAGCUUGCUCUUACGGGUGGCGAGUGGCGGACGAGUGAGGCAUACAUCGGAAUCUACUUUUUCGUGGGGGAUAACGUAGGGAAACUUACGCUAAUACCGCAUACGACCUACGGGUGAAAGCAGGGGAUCUUCGGACCUUGCGCGAUUGAAUGAGCCGAUGUCGGAUUAGCUAGUUGGCGGGGUAAAGGCCCACCAAGGCGACGAUCCGUAGCUGGUCUGAGAGGAUGAUCAGCCACACUGGAACUGAGACACGGUCCAGACUCCUACGGGAGGCAGCAGUGGGGAAUAUUGGACAAUGGGCGCAAGCCUGAUCCAGCCAUACCGCGUGGGUGAAGAAGGCCUUCGGGUUGUAAAGACCUUUUGUUGGGAAAGAAAAGCAGCAGGUUAAUACCCCGCUGUUCUGACGGGACCCAAAGAAUAAGCACCGGCUAACUUCGUGC